AACCAUAGAAACCUGCGGAGUACCUGCGGAAGGAUCAUUACCGAGUUUACAACUCCCAAACCCCUGUGAACAUACCAAUUGUUGCCUCGGCGGAUCAGCCCGCUCCCGGUAAAACGGGACGGCCCGCCAGAGGACCCCUAAACUCUGUUUCUAUAUGUAACUUCUGAGUAAAACCAUAAAUAAAUCAAAACUUUUAGCAACGGAUCU
rnacentral:misc_RNA from 1 species